CAGGCUUAACACAUGCAAGUCGAGGGGCAGCAUGGUCUUAGCUUGCUAAGGCCGAUGGCGACCGGCGCACGGGUGAGUAACACGUAUCCAACCUGCCGUCUACUCUUGGACAGCCUUCUGAAAGGAAGAUUAAUACAAGAUGGCAUCAUGAGUCCGCAUGUUCACAUGAUUAAAGGUAUUCCGGUAGACGAUGGGGAUGCGUUCCAUUAGAUAGUAGGCGGGGUAACGGCCCACCUAGUCUUCGAUGGAUAGGGGUUCUGAGAGGAAGGUCCCCCACAUUGGAACUGAGACACGGUCCAAACUCCUACGGGAGGCAGCAGUGAGGAAUAUUGGUCAAUGGGCGAGAGCCUGAACCAGCCAAGUAGCGUGAAGGAUGACUGCCCUAUGGGUUGUAAACUUCUUUUAUAAAGGAAUAAAGUCGGGUAUGCAUACCCGUUUGCAUGUACUUUAUGAAUAAGGAUCGGCUAACUCCGUGCCAGCAGCCGCGGUAAUACGGAGGAUCCGAGCGUUAUCCGGAUUUAUUGGGUUUAAAGGGAGCGUAGAUGGAUGUUUAAGUCAGUUGUGAAAGUUUGCGGCUCAACCGUAAAAUUGCAGUUGAUACUGGAUAUCUUGAGUGCAGUUGAGGCAGGCGGAAUUCGUGGUGUAGCGGUGAAAUGCUUAGAUAUCACGAAGAACUCCGAUUGCGAAGGCAGCCUGCUAAGCUGCAACUGACAUUGAGGCUCGAAAGUGUGGGUAUCAAACAGGAUUAGAUACCCUGGUAGUCCACACGGUAAACGAUGAAUACUCGCUGUUUGCGAUAUACAGCAAGCGGCCAAGCGAAAGCGUUAAGUAUUCCACCUGGGGAGUACGCCGGCAACGGUGAAACUCAAAGGAAUUGACGGGGGCCCGCACAAGCGGAGGAACAUGUGGUUUAAUUCGAUGAUACGCGAGGAACCUUACCCGGGCUUAAAUUGCAGAUGAAUUACGGUGAAAGCCGUAAGCCGCAAGGCAUCUGUGAAGGUGCUGCAUGGUUGUCGUCAGCUCGUGCCGUGAGGUGUCGGCUUAAGUGCCAUAACGAGCGCAACCCUUGUUGUCAGUUACUAACAGGUUCCGCUGAGGACUCUGACAAGACUGCCAUCGUAAGAUGUGAGGAAGGUGGGGAUGACGUCAAAUCAGCACGGCCCUUACGUCCGGGGCUACACACGUGUUACAAUGGGGGGGUACAGAGGGCCGCUACCACGCGAGUGGAUGCCAAUCCCCAAAACCUCUCUCAGUUCGGACUGGAGUCUGCAACCCGACUCCACGAAGCUGGAUUCGCUAGUAAUCGCGCAUCAGCCACGGCGCGGUGAAUACGUUCCCGGGCCUUGUACACACCGCCCGUCAAGCCAUGGGAGCCGGGGGUACCUGAAGUGCGUAACCACGAGGAGCGCCCUAGGGUAAAACUGGUGACUGG
rnacentral:rRNA from 1 species